GAUGAACGCUAGCGGGAGGCCUAACACAUGCAAGCCGAGCGGUAUUGUUUCUUCGGAAAUGAGAGAGCGGCGUACGGGUGCGGAACACGUGUGCAACCUGCCUUUAUCUGGGGGAUAGCCUUUCGAAAGGAAGAUUAAUACUCCAUAAUAUAUUGAACGGCAUCGUUUAAUAUUGAAAGCUCCGGCGGAUAGAGAUGGGCACGCGCAAGAUUAGCUAGUUGGUGAGGUAACGGCUCACCAAGGCAAUGAUCUUUAGGGGGCCUGAGAGGGUGAUCCCCCACACUGGUACUGAGACACGGACCAGACUCCUACGGGAGGCAGCAGUGAGGAAUAUUGGUCAAUGGGUGCAAGCCUGAACCAGCCAUCCCGCGUGAAGGACGACUGCCCUAUGGGUUGUAAACUUCUUUUGUAUAGGGAUAAACCUUCCCACGUGUGGGAAGCUGAAGGUACUAUACGAAUAAGCACCGGCUAACUCCGUGCCAGCCGCCGCCGUAACAC
rnacentral:rRNA from 1 species